GUCGAGCGAAGCUUUUCAGUAGUUUACUACAGAAAAUGACUGAGCGGCGAACGGGUGAGUAACGCGUGAGCAAUCUACCUUAGUUACAGGGAUAGCCCGAGGAAACUCGGAUUAAUACCUGAUAUUCUUUAAAUUUCGCAUGAAAUUAAAAGGAAAGGUCAGCCGAACUAAGAUGAGCUCGCGUUCUAUCAGCUAGUUGGUGAGGUAAAAGCUCACCAAGGCUACGACGGAUAGCUGGUCUGAGAGGACGAUCAGCCACACUGGGACUGAGACACGGCCCAGACUCCUACGGGAGGCUGCAGCAGGGAAUAUUGCGCAAUGAGCGAAAGCUUGACGCAGCGACACCGCGUGUGGGAUGACGGAUCUAGGUUUGUAAACCACUUUCAGGAGGGAAGAAAAUGACGGUACCUCCACAAGAAGCCCCGGCCAACUACGUGCCAGCAGCCGCGGUAAUACGUAGGGGGCGAGCGUUGUCCGGAUUUAUUGGGCGUAAAGAGCUCGUAGGCGGUUCAACAAGUCGGUCGUAAAAGUUCAGGGCUCAACCCUGAAAUGUCGAUCGAUACUGUUGUGACUAGGAUACGGUAGAGGUGAGUGGAAUUCCGAGUGUAGCGGUGAAAUGCGUAGAUAUUCGGAGGAACACCAAUUGCGAAGGCAGCUCACUGGGCCCGCUAUCGACGCUGAGGAGCGAAAGCUAGGGAGCAAACAGGAUUAGAUACCCUGGUAGUCCUAGCUGUAAACGAUGGAUACUAGACGUA
rnacentral:rRNA from 1 species